CCUACGGGGGGCAGCAGUGGGGAAUAUUGCACAAUGGGCGCAAGCCUGAUGCAGCCAUGCCGCGUGUGUGAAGAAGGCCUUCGGGUUGUAAAGCACUUUCAGCGGGGAGGAAGGCGGUGAGGUUAAUAACCUCAUCGAUUGACGUUACCCGCAGAAGAAGCACCGGCUAACUCCGUGCCAGCAGCCGCGGUAAUACGGAGGGUGCAAGCGUUAAUCGGAAUUACUGGGCGUAAAGCGCACGCAGGCGGUCUGUCAAGUCGGAUGUGAAAUCCCCGGGCUCAACCUGGGAACUGCAUUCGAAACUGGCAGGCUAGAGUCUUGUAGAGGGGGGUAGAAUUCCAGGUGUAGCGGUGAAAUGCGUAGAGAUCUGGAGGAAUACCGGUGGCGAAGGCAGCCCCCUGGACAAAGACUGACGCUCAGGUGCGAAAGCGUGGGGAGCAAACAGGAUUAGAUACCCCUGUAGUC
rnacentral:rRNA from 1 species